rnacentral:rRNA from 1 species
GAUGAACGCUGGCGGCGUGCCUAAUACAUGCAAGUCGAGCGAACAGACGAGGAGCUUGCUCCUCUGACGUUAGCGGCGGGCGGGUGAGUAACACGUGGAUAACCUACCUAUAAGACUGGGAUAACUUCGGGAAACCGGAGCUAAUACCGGAUAAUAUCUUGAACCGCAUGGUUCAAUAGUGAAAGACGGUUUUGCUGUCACUUAUAGAUGGAUCCGCGCCGCAUUAGCUAGUUGGGAAGGUAACGGGUUACCAAGGCGACGAUGCGUGGCCGACCUGAGAGGGUGAUCGCCCACACGGGAACUGAGACACGGUCCAGACUCCUACGGGAGGCAGCAGUAGGGAAUCUUACGCAACGGGCGAAAGCCUGGCGGAGCAACGCCGCGUCAGUGAUGAAGGUCUUCGGAUCGGAAAACUCUGUUAUUGGGGAAGAACAAAUGUGUAAGUAACUAUGCACGUCUUGACGGUACCUAAUCAGAAAGCCACGGCUAACUACGUG